UGGAGAGUUUGAUCCUGGCUCAGGACGAACGNNNNNNNNNNGACGAACGCUGGCGGCGUGCUUAACACAUGCAAGUCGAACGAAGAGCGAUGGAAGCUUGCUUCUAUCAAUCUUAGUGGCGAACGGGUGAGUAACGCGUAAUCAACCUGCCCUUCAGAGGGGGACAACAGUUGGAAACGACUGCUAAUACCGCAUACGAUCCAACCUCGGCAUCGAGGAUGGAUGAAAGGUGGCCUCUAUUUAUAAGCUAUCACUGAAGGAGGGGAUUGCGUCUGAUUAGCUAGUUGGAGGGGUAACG
rnacentral:rRNA from 1 species